UGAAGCAGAAACUUCCUGUCCCAGGACUCAGUCCUUAUGUGGCCAGCAUCUGUAAAGUCUCAUUAGCUCUUUUAUUUCAGAGAUCUCUUGGUCUCUCGAGUUUUUUAUUUGGCAUAGGGACUAUGCACCCACAACUUGUGGUUGCUGUAGUCUGGCUUUAUUGGGCUCCUGUUCUGAUUGUCCGUCGGUGCCCAUCCUGGACUCUGCAGCAUGACUGCUGAUCUGGAACUGAAAGUCUUGGAACGAAACCCCACCCAACAUAAAUUUGCUCGACAGACUGAAUCAGCCAUCUAAGCCUUUCCAGCAGAAGAAACUCCUUAAGAAAAGGAAACUGAAGAUCCCUGUACUUAUAGGGGGAAAGUACAUUCCCAGCCCAGGGCAAAUAACCUUUGCAACUGAAAUCAGUCAAAGGGGGAAAUACAGUGGAAAAAAGCCGUUUAUUGCUUACAAGCAGUCGUCUGCUUCUGCUCUCCGGUGCUUCUCGCAAACGGCUGCAAAAGGACCCCGCCCACCUCUCCGUCCCCGCACAGCCUUGCUCCCCACCCGCCUUGUGAUCACCUAUUGACACGGGGACGGGCUACUUCUCUGCAUCCCUUGGAAACACCUGCUGAUACGGAGAUGCACUAAGGCCAGCCACCGCAUUUCAAGCGGGACAGUGAUAACUGAUGUCAAUUUGGAGUAGGGUGGCUACUUUGACCCAUACAUCAGCUGGCGUGUUCAAGAUCCAGAUCAAGCUGGUCCACCUCCUCCCUUUCCAGGACCUAAGGACUUGAAGCAGACAUGCUGGGCUCUUGAGAAAAAGCUUGUCCCCACAGGACUGCUGGCCACAUUUCGCAGACUCAAGAUGUUUGGAGAGUGUAGAUAAUCAUCACAAUUUU